CCGGCCUAGUUUGCGGCUGCUCCUGCCGUGUUGCGUAGGGCGCCUGUGCUUGAGGUUGGGGGUUGCGUCGCUCUCUGGUAAAGGCGUGCAGGUGUUGGCCGCGGCCUCUGAGCUGGGAUGAGCCGUGCUCCCGGUGGAAGCAAGGGAGCCCAGCCGGAGCCAUGGCCAGUACAGUGGUAGCAGUUGGACUGACCAUUGCUGCUGCAGGAUUUGCAGGCCGUUACGUUUUGCAAGCCAUGAAGCAUAUGGAGCCUCAAGUAAAACAAGUUUUUCAAAGCCUACCAAAAUCUGUAAGACUUUGUUAAUUCUUUGCUGCUUCUAUUUGAAACCUAGAGCCACACUUAGGGAAGGGUAAAUUUCCAAAUAUCCAUGAAGUUCUAAGUGAUUGCUUUGGACCCAUUCUCCUGCUUCCUGCAAGGAGAGUAUAGAAGUUCUGAACUUUGUGAUGGUGCUACCCUGAAACAUCAGAUGUUAUAUGUGACAGAGUUGGAUAGGGUUUUGACAAUUCUAGUACCCCACUAGACCCAAGUUUCACUUUUUCACAUACCAUCACCUUCAGCAUCAUCUGUACAUAUUCUUGUUUUCCUUCAUCUGCUCUGCAUCGCACACGCAGAGGUAUAUGAUUCUAAAGUGAUCCGAUCUUACCAUGUGGCCCUGGCACUCCCAAACAUCAUACAUAGGUAGCACUCUAGUUAAUUAGGCUAUAGGGUUUGGCUUGAUGUUAUGGUCAUACUCUCUGUGGUCACAGUUAAGAAUAGAUUUGGCUGUGAUCACCUGUUGAAUAUGUUGUGAUUAAGGGUAACAGAAUAGAGUGAUUGUAGGCUUUACCAAUAUGAUUUCUGACAUGGCAAGGUCAGAGGACCUAAUAGUGGUAUUUUCUGUAUAUAUAUCUUAAAGUCUUGUUUCAAAUACACUUGAACCUCUUGUCUCAAAAGACUUCUGUUCUUGAGCCACUUCUUGCAGAUUUUUAUCUAGAAUAUGGCUAAUUUGGAAUGAUCUUUCCCGGAAGACCUGGCUUUCAGACACUGUUAUUUUGUCUUAUAUUUCUAAGAUAGUUCAUAUUGACUGGAAAAAAAUGAAUCUGUUUAAUGAUCAUUAAAAUACUACUUGUUGCUACUUAUUUAU
rnacentral:sRNA from 1 species